rfam:Nitrincola nitratireducens strain AK23 contig000003, whole genome shotgun sequence.
GAGGGUAGGCCCCUCGGUUCCGGCAACCAGAUGCAGGAAUCAAACCGCCCUAUGCGGCAUGUAUUAAGAAAGAGGUCUCGAAAGUGAUAGAUUGGAUGAUACAUCCUAAAUUUGGU